rnacentral:rRNA from 1 species
CAGUAGCCGCGGUAAUACGUAGGUGGCGAGCGUUGUCCGGAAUCAUUGGGCGUAAAGGGAGCGCAGGCGGGCCGGUAAGUCUUACUUAAAAGUGCGGGGCUCAACCCCGUGAUGGGAGAGAAACUAUCGGUCUUGAGUACAGGAGAGGAAAGCGGAAUUCCCAGUGUAGCGGUGAAAUGCGUAGAUAUUGGGAAGAACACCAGUGGCGAAGGCGGCUUUCUGGACUGCAACUGACGCUGAGGCUCGAAAGCCAGGGGAGCGAACGGGAUUAGAUACCCCUGUAGUCCCUGUCUCUUAUACA